GUGCUAUUUCUCUUAAUAAAAUUCAUCUUUUAAGAUGAAAUCCGAAGUCUUAACAAUUAGUGACAAGUAAUUUCUGCUUCGAGCACAACAAAAUUAGUGAAUCAAGAUAAACACCUGUGAGAUUACGCGGUGACGAAGAAGUUGUGUUUCACCAGAAUCAGUUUCCAUCGAUACUGCUCCAUGUGCAUGGCCAUGGGUGGCAUGAGUAUGAACCGGGACAACUCCUUCUUCGCCGCUAGCUAUUUGCGCCUUGCCUCUUGAUUCCUUGCUGUAAUAGGAGGUUGCAUAUGUGUCCACCAUAAGAGUCCCAAUGGCCGAAACCAUUGCGACAAAGCCUGUGAAUGGAAAAUCUCCCCACGGAUGGGCACUGAUACACGGAGAUGUCAAGUUUUCGAACGCAUCGGGAAGCACGUGGAUGAAACCCGUCGACAAAAUUACUCCGGCUGCGAAUGCCUUUAUAAUAAAGAAAAAGCUUCUCUCUGGACUCAAAGCUCGUAUCGUCUUCCCCAAAACAGGAAGACAAACCCCAAUUGCACUCGCGACGAGGAUUGAAGCAAGUGCAGCCAACUUAUAUUUGAGUGCUAAACUUUUGUUCCGAUCUUCCUCGUCGGCUUCACAUGUACAUUCGCCUAAAACUGCAGUCGGAAGUAGUACCAGGAAAGCCAAGAAAACCAUCUUGCAAAUCCAUCCACGCGAAUAUGACUGAAAAUUCAUUAUGGGAUGGUGGAGAUUCAAGAAUUUUACCUAAAAGUUAGUGUGCUUUUCUAUCAGAAUCGUGGGUACUCUUAAAAGUUCUUGUGUGUACACAAGAUUCAAAAAGACACGCAGUCAAAUAAGGGUUUUAAAAGAUUGCUUGUAUUGAAUGUCGAAUUCAAUGAAAUUUGCUUUCAAAGGUAAUGAAGAUAUAAUGAGGUCAUUGAGCCUGAUAUUUCUCUCUAUUUCAUCUAAAUUUCCUUAUAUUUUGAUAUAUACCAGGAAAGUCAGACAGUU
rnacentral:lncRNA from 1 species